rnacentral:rRNA from 1 species
GAUGAACGCUAGCGGCAGGCUUAAUACAUGCAAGUCGAGGGGCAGCACAGGUAGCAAUACUGGGUGGCGACCGGCAAACGGGUGCGGAACACGUACACAACUUACCUUAGAGUGGGGGAUAGCCCAGGGAAACUUGGAUUAAUACCCCAUAAAACAGGGGGCCCGCAUGGGCAUAUUGUUAAAGAUUUAUCGCUUUAAGAUGGGUGUGCGUAUGAUUAGGUAGUUGGUAGGGUAAAGGCCUACCAAGCCGACGAUCAUUAACUGGUGUGAGAGUACGAACAGUCACACGGGAACUGAGACACGGGCCCGACUCCUACGGAAGGCAGCAGUAAGGAAUAUUGGUCAAUGGACGUAAGUCUGAACCAGCCAUGCCGCGUGAAGGAUGAAGGUCCUCUGGAUUGUAAACUUCUUUUAUAGGGGGCGAAAAAGGGCCAUUCUUGGUCAACUGACGGUACCCUAUGAAUAAGCACCGGCUAACUCCGUGCCAGCAGCCGCGGUAA